rnacentral:tRNA from 1 species
GAGGGUAUAGCUCAGUGGUAGAGCGCUUGCUUAGCAUGCACAAGGCCCUGGGUUCAAUCCCCAGGACCUCCU